UUGAAUUCAUGAAGUUUUUAGUGCUAAUUGCUUGCAUGUUAAGCUUAAAUGUUUGUAGGACUAAUUUGUAAAGUGAGAUUUGGAUGAUUUUGUCAUUAAGGAUUAAAAUGUAAAAUUUUGCAAAUAGUGGGGUAAAACUGAUAUGCUAUGUGCUGCUAGUAAGUUAGCUAAGGAUGAAUUCAAAAUAGGUUUUGGAAUCAAAGCUCAAAU
rnacentral:lncRNA from 1 species